ensembl:snRNA U7 U7 small nuclear RNA
UGGUGUUACAGCUCUUUUAGAAUUUGCCUAGCAGGUGGUUUUCCAGUGUUCACCAGUAAAACUCUA